AUGUGUCUUGGCUAAUGUGUCUUGGCUAAGGUGUCUUGGCUAAUGUGUCUUGGCUAAGGUGUCUUGGCUUAGGUGUCUUGGCUAAUGUGUCUUGGCUAAGGUGUCUUGGCUAAGGUGUCUUGGCUAAGGUGUAUCGGCUUAUGUGUCUUGGCUAAUGUGUCUUGGCUAAGGUGUCUUGGCUAAGGUGUCUUGGCUAAGGUGUAUCGGCUUAUGUGUCUUGGCUAAUGUGUCUUGGCUAAGGUGUCUUGGCUAAGGUGUCUUGGCUAAGGUGUAUCGGCUUAUGUGUCUUGGCUAAGG